GACGAACGCUGGCGGCGUGCCUAAUACAUGCAAGUUGAGCGAUGAAGCUUGGUGCUUGCACCCAUUUGAAGAGCAGCGAACGGGUGAGUAACGCGUGGGGAAUCUGCCUUUGAGCGGGGGACAACAUUUGGAAACGAAUGCUAAUACCGCAUAAUAACUUUAAACAUAAGUUUUAAGUUUGAAAGAUGCAAUUGCAUCACUCAAAGAUGAUCCCGCGUUGUAUUAGCUAGUUGGUGAGGUAAAGGCUCACCAAGGCGAUGAUACAUAGCCGACCUGAGAGGGUGAUCGGCCACAUUGGGACUGAGACACGGCCCAAACUCCUACGGGAGGCAGCAGUAGGGAAUCUUCGGCAAUGGACGAAAGUCUGACCGAGCAACGCCGCGGGAGUGAAGAAGGGUUUCGGAUCGUAAAACUCUGUUGGUAGAGAAGAACGUUGGUGAGAGUGGAAAGCUCAUCAAGUGACGGUAACUACCCAGAAAGGGACGGCUAACUACGUG
rnacentral:rRNA from 1 species